AAAUCUGAAGUAAAAUAUUACAUUUAGUUUCGGCCUAAAAGACUGAUCAUAAAGAUCCAGAUUUU